AGCAGUAUGGUGUAAUGAUGCACAUUGGAUUUCAUGCAAUUUUGGCAAGCAGUUUAAUCCCAGGUCCUUGUUCGAAUCAAGGUGCUGCUU